rnacentral:rRNA from 1 species
GACGAACGCUGGCGGCGUGCUUAACACAUGCAAGUCGAACGCUAAGGCCCUGCUUUUGUGGGGUGGAUGAGUGGCGAACGGGUGAGUAACACGUGAGUAACCUGCCCCUGCUUUUGGGUAACCCUCGGGAACGUGGGGUUAAACCCGGUAUGCACUUCCCUUCGCAUGGUGGGGGUUGGAAAGUGUCUGCGGUUGGGGAUGGACUCGCGGGUCAUAUGCUUGUUGUGGGGGUAGUGGCUUACCAAGGCUUUGACAGGUAGCCGGCCUGGGAGGGUGACCGGCGACAUUGGGACUGGGAUACUGCCCAGGCUCCUACGGGAGGCAGCAGUGGGGAAGAUUGCACAAUGGGCGGGAGCCGGAGGCAGCAACGUCGCGGGCGUGAGGACGUCCUUCGGUUUGUAAACCGCUUUCGCCGGUAACGAAGCGUGAGUGACGGUAAUGGGUAAAGAAGCACCGGCUAACUACGUG